CACUUGAACAUCCUUAGCCAUUCCAAUGGCUAAGUCACAAAAUAUUACUUACAAGCCUUCAUCUAUGCCAAGUAGCUUAUACAAGCCAUUAUAUCAAAAUGAAUCAUUUAGAUAUACCAAAAGGAGAUUUGUGGAUAGUUUGAUCUUGCUCCGAUCGAAUCUUCCAACUUUUACGAGCUUUAUGAGCAUUAUAAAACAAGGAAAAGUAAAACGGGGUAAGCAUUUUCAUGCCUAGUAAAUUCGCGUAAUAGAAAGAAAACUUACCAGUCAUAACUAUUCAAAUAAGCAUACAUACGCAUUCAAUCAAUA
rnacentral:lncRNA from 1 species